UAUCCAGACUCCUACGGGAGGCAGCAGUGGGGAAUAUUGCACAAUGGGGGGAACCCUGAUGCAGCGACGCCGCGUGGGUGAAGGAGCACCUCGGUGCGUAAAGCCCUAUCGGCAGGGAAGAAACAGACGGUACCUGACUAAGAAGCCCCGGCUAACUACGUGCCAGCAGCCGCGGGAAUACGUAGGGGGCAAGCGUUAUCCGGAUUCACUGGGUGUAAAGGGAGCGUAGACGGCGACGCAAGUCUGGAGUGAAAGCCCGGGGCCCAACCCCGGGACUGCUCUUGGAACUGCGUGGCUGGGGUGCAGGAGGGGCAGGCGGAAUUCCUGGUGUAGCGGUGAAAUGCGUAGAUAUCAGGAGGAACACCGGCGGCGAAGGCGGCCUGCUGGACCGCGACUGACGUUGAGGCUCGAAAGCGUGGGGAGCAAACAGGAUUAGAUACCCGUGUA
rnacentral:rRNA from 1 species